GAUCUACCCAUGGCCAGGUUGAAGCGCGUGUAAGAACGCGUGGAGGACCGAACCCACUUCAGUUGAAAAUGGAGGGGAUGAGUUGUGGGUAGGGGUGAAAGGCCAAUCAAACUCCGUGAUAGCUGGUUCUCCCCGAAAUGCAUUUAGGUGCAGCGUCACGUGUUUCUUCCCGGAGGUAGAGCUACUGGAUGGACGAUGGGCCCUACAAGGUUACUGACUUCAGCCAAACUCCGAAUGCCGGGAAGUGAGAGCGUGG
rnacentral:rRNA from 1 species